rnacentral:lncRNA from 1 species
CUUUUAUUAAAUUAUUUAUUGGGCUUGGACCCUAAUUUACCCCAAGACAUUAGGCAAAUACAACAUUUAGCUCCUAACUUAAAUACGUACAAGUUAACAAAUGAAGAAGGGAUUUAAGAAAAUAACAUGUUAUUCUACAGAGCAACUGGCUUCAGUAUUUAACACGCCCUUCAAGCAUCUUCACCAAGAUAAAACUAAAAGAAUUAGCCCCGUCAUCUCUAUUUCUCUACAUACCAAGAUAUAAAUAUCCAUUAAGACCCAUUUUCUCUGUGCAACGAGAACUCUCUGCAACUUUCACUUCCUAUUGACAGUUCUAGAUGUCCAUCACAAGUUAUGAACAUCAUCCUCCCAUACAACUAAAUUUGUUACAAACAUCAUUCUCCUGGAAAAGAUCAAGAAUGCUAUAUUAAAACUCGCUGAAAAUCUAAUUUUAUCAAAUAUUAGCACUUCUCCAACUCUUCAUGGACAAACCAAUACUCUUUUUCCAGCCAACCAAGCACUGAGAAUUUUUAAUUUAGCAAUAAGAUUUAAACCUUUGAAACAAAAUCUAACAAAGAUUAUUUUUUCCUUUAUCGUUGCUAAAAGAAAAUCAUUAAAAUACAUCAACUUGAGUAUACGUUUGCAAAAUUAAACAAGUGAACCAAUAAUUCAAGCCCAAAACAAUUUCAUACUAGCCCAAGAAUCUUUCAGGAUUCAAUCCAUCAUAAAAGGAAGAAGAAAAUCAUAAAACUAUAUUAUAUUUCAAAGAGGGCAAAUAAAAGGGUGCUGAAAAUUUACUUCUUCAGAUACAUUUCUUGUAGAGGAUACGAUAACCGCACUUGCGGAGCUGAAUUACAUCAUCUGGCUUCAGCGUGUUCUCUUGGCUGCAAUAUGCAAACCCAUUUCAACAUAAUUCAAUCAGAUUAAAAAAAGACACUCAAAUUUGUAUCCAUGUAUGUUAACA